rnacentral:rRNA from 1 species
GACGAACGCUGGCGGCGUGCUUAACACAUGCGAGUCGAACGGAAAGGCCUUGCUUUUGUUGGGUGCUCGAGUGGCGAACGGGUGAGUAACACGUGAGUAACCUGCCCUUGACUUUGGGAUAACUUCAGGAAACUGGGGCUAAUACCGGAUAGGAGCUCCUGCUGCAUGGUGGGGGUUGGAAAGUUUCGGCGGUUGGGGAUGGACUCGCGGCUUAUCAGCUUGCUGGUGGGGUAGUGGCUUACCAAGGCUUUGACGGGUAGCCGGCCUGAGAGGGUGGCCGGCCACAUUGGGACUGAGAUACGGGCCAGGCUGCUGCGGGGGACAGCAGUGGGGAAUAUUGCACAAUGGGCGGAAGCCUGAUGCAGCAACGCCGCGUGCGGGAUGACGGCCUUCGGGUUGUAAGCCGCUUUCGCCUGUGACGAAGAGUGAGUGGCGGUAAUGGGUAAAGGAGCACCGGCUAACUACGUG